GAUGAACGCUAGCGGCGUGCCUAACACAUGCAAGUCGAGCGGUAGCUCCCGAGCUUGCUUGGGGGUGAGAGCGGCGCACGGGUGAGUAACACGUAGGUGACCUGCCCCGAAGUGGGGGAUAACUGCCGGAAACGGCAGCUAAUACCGCAUGUGGUCCGUGGUGUUAGAGGCUACGGACUAAAGGUGCCACAUCGAAAGGUGUGGUUUCCGCUUCGGGAGGGGCCUGCGGCCGAUUAGCUAGUUGGUGGGGUAACGGCCCACCAAGGCGAUGAUCGGUAGGGGGCGUGAGAGCGUGACCCCCCACAUGGGCACUGAGACACGGGCCCAACUCCUACGGGAGGCAGCAGUGAGGAAUAUUGCGCAAUGGGCGAAAGCCUGACGCAGCAACGCCGCGUGAGGGACGAAGGCCUUCGGGUUGUAAACCUCUUUUCUGGGGGAAGAGAGAGGACGGUACCCCAGGAAUAAGUCACGGCUAACUACGUGCCAGCAGCCGCGGUAAAACGUAGGUGGCGAGCGUUAUCCGGAUUUACUGGGCGUAAAGCGCACGCAGGCGGCUUCGUAAGUCGAGUGUGAAAGCCCCCGGCUCAACUGGGGGAGGCCAUUCGAUACUGCGGAGCUUGAGAGCAGGAGAGGGGAGUGGAAUUCCCGGUGUAGCGGUGGAAUGCGUAGAUAUCGGGAGGAACACCAGUGGCGAAGGCGGCUCCCUGGCCUGUUUCUGACGCUCAGGUGCGAAAGCGUGGGGAGCGAACGGGAUUAGAUACCCCGGUAGUCCACGCCGUAAACGAUGAGUGCUAGGUGUUGGCGGUAUCCAUUCCGUCAGUGCCGUAGCUAACGCGUUAAGCACUCCGCCUGGGGACUACGGCCGCAAGGCUAAAACUCAAAGGAAUUGACGG
rnacentral:rRNA from 1 species